GGAGCCUGAGAAACGGCUACCACAUCCAAGGAUGGCAGCAGGCGCGCAAAUUACCCAAUCCCGACACGGGGAGGUAGUGACAAUAAAUAACAAUACGGGGUUCUUUAGGAUCUCGUAAUUGGAAUGAGUACAAUUUAAAUCUCUUAACGAGGAACAAUUGGAGGGCAAGUCUGGUGCCAGCAGCCGCGGUAAUUCCAGCUCCAAUAGCGUAUAUUAAAGUUGUUGCAGUUAAAAAGCUCGUAGUUGAAUUUCGGGAUCAAUUUAUUGGUCGUGCUAUUGUACGUACUGGUAUUAUUGAUUCCUACCUUCUGACGAACCAUGAUGUCAUUAAUUUGGUGUCAUGGGGAAUCAGGACUGUUACUUUGAAAAAAUUAGAGUGUUUAAAGCAGGCUCACGCUUGAAUACAUUAGCAUGGAAUAACGAAAUAGGACGUUUGAUUCUAUUUUGUUGGUUUCUAGGAUCGACGUAAUGAUUAAUAGGGAUAGUUGGGGGCAUUAGUAUUCAAUUGUCAGAGGUGAAAUUCUUGGAUUUAUUGAAGACUAACUACUGCGAAAGCAUUUGCCAAGGAUGUUUUCAUUAAUCAAGAACGAAAGUUAGGGGGUCGAAGACGAUCAGAUACCGUCGUAGUCUUAACCAUAAACUAUGCCGACUAGGGAUCGGAUGAUGUUAAUUUUUUAAUGACUCAUUCGGCGCCUUACGG
rnacentral:rRNA from 1 species